CCUACGGGCGGCAGCAGUCGAGAAUCAUUCACAAUGGGGGAAACCCUGAUGGUGCGACGCCGCGUGGGGGAAUGAAGGUCUUCGGAUUGUAAACCCCUGUCAUGUGGGAGCAAAUUAAAAAGAUAGUACCACAAGAGGAAGAGACGGCUAACUCUGUGCCAGCAGCCGCGGUAAUACAGAGGUCUCAAGCGUUGUUCGGAAUCACUGGGCGUAAAGCGUGCGUAGGCUGUUUCGUAAGUCGUGUGUGAAAGGCGAGGGCUCAACCCGCGGACGGCACCUGAUACUGCGAGACUAGAGUAAUGGAGGGGGAACCGGAAGUCUCGGUGUAGCAGUGAAAUGCGUAGAUAUCGAGAGGAACACUCGUGGCGAAGGCGGGUUCCUGGACAUUAACUGACGCUGAGGCACGAAGGCCAGGGGAGCGAAAGGGAUUAGAUACCCCAGUAGUC
rnacentral:rRNA from 1 species